rnacentral:rRNA from 1 species
CCUACGGGGGGCGGCAGGGGGGAAUCUUGCACAAUGGGCGGAAGCCUGAUGCAGCGACGCCGCGUGAGGGAAGAAGGUCUUCGGAUUGUAAACCUCUUUUGACAGGGAAGAUGAUGACGGUACCUGUCGAAUAAGCCCCGGCUAACUACGUGCCAGCAGCCCCGGUC